AUAGAACAUGUGGCAGUGGUGCCUUGGGAAUUCCGAGGCUAGCAUGUAUGAGACGCAGCUCCCACCUCACCAGCUGGAAUGCUCACCUCAGGCACCAUAUAAACUAGUCCACAGCCUUGAGGCCCUGGUGCCAUGAGAGAAGUAAUAUCUGACAACUGUGGGUCCCUGAAGGGGUCAAACUGCAAUGCCAACGAGUGGAUGUGGUAAAGCUGCCCUGGUGAACCAGAAGAGCAGACCUAGAGUUUCUCCAUCAGCUGGCAGUUGAGAGGCUACUUGCGACAGGAAGCCAUCUCUACCUCAAUGUAGAUCAAGCUUCAGCAGUCACGUCUCUUCCAUCCUUCCUGCUUCAUGCACACAACUAGAUCUGUUUCAACUCAGGGCUUUUUGGAGACUGGGUCCAGUGACCAUUGCUCAGGUCCAGAGGUGUCUCUUUCCUUCAAAUUUUUGCUAUGUCCAUGUUGGUUGGGUACUACAUCAUUUUACUGCGCUGUAUGUGGGCACCACUUUCAGCAAAAGAGGAGUAGUAAGCAUGCAGUGUAGAAUAUUAUAAAAGAUCAAAACAGCUAACAGUCUGCUACUAGCAUGCAGUCAAAAGAUAAGACAUACUAGAAAAAAAAUCUGUUAGAAGCUCUUUAUUAGAAUAGCCAAUUAGACCUAAAAGGUAAUAGGAGACCAGAAGCUUGAUGACAAGAAAUGGAGACUGGUCAAGAAAAAUUAGACAUGUGGUUCUAAAUCCUGAGUUAGAAAAAUGAACAAUUUGAAAGAAACACUAUCAACUAUACUGAAUAUAUUUUUGUAAGAAUAAGAAGGGAACCAGAGAAUAUUCCAAAGAUACUCAAUUGUUGAAAAUCUUAAAUGUACUACUUCCAAAAUGAACAGACAGAAAUGGAGGCUUGAGAAACAAAAUACAAGAUCUGAGAAAACAUAAUCAAAUACUUCUCUAAAGACUGUCAGCAUUGAAGCAAACUCUCUAAUCACACAUGGCAAAAAACAAAAACAAAAACAAAAACAAAAAACAAAAAACCACCUCACUAUAUUGGGUUUUGGAGCAUUUUCAUGGAGUAUGAUUUGGAAGUUUCACUGGAUGUGGUGUUGAGUGUAACUGUUGACAAAAA